AUCAGGAUGGCUGAGUGGUUAAGGUGUUGGACUUAAGAUCCAGUGGACUGUAGUCCUCAUGGGUUCAAACCCCACUCCUGGUA